AGUAAAGGCAUUGAUGAAAGAUGUUUCCAAAUUUAAAACAAGGAGGAUUAUUGAUUCAACCUUUUUCACAUUACAGCACAUUUAGAAAAUAAUGAUGUUUGUAUGACACACUUAGAUAAAUGGACCUCCCUGGUAGCCAAGGAGCUCCAGACCCUUCCUGGCUUUCUAAGAGGCUGAGAGGAUCAUUAUCUUGACAUAUGAGUUGGAGGUUCUGUCCUCUGUCCUAAAUAUUGCUACAAUUAGCACUAUUUGUUCAUUAUCUCCACAAAUACUUUUAAAGUGCCUACCACAUCAUAUGUCUGGCACUGUGCUGAGGUUUGUUCUUGGCACUUUGAGUUAACGUGGGUGGUGGGUUGGCCUAUCAAACAAUCAUGAAUAUAUAAUUAUUAUUGGUAAUAACUGUUCUGAAGGACAAAUGAUUGCAAGUUGGGUUAGUAUAAAUAAGGAACAGUAAAGAAUGUGAUGAACAAUGAUAUAGGAGAACCUGAUUUUUAUUAGCAAGGCUUCUCCAAGAAAGUGGUUUGGAGGGUAGAUGCUGUUACCUAGGCAGAGGAGUUGGGUGGUCCAUGGAUUGUGGACAAGGGCAUUCCAGACAGAAAGAAAAGCACAGCUGCGUCUUUUGAAGGCACCAAUGUGAAGAGUUUUGUUCCUUUAGGGAACUAAAAGGCUAGAGUGGCUAGAGCAAGGGAGAACAUGUGAAAUGAGACUGGAGAGGUAGGCGAGCAUGUGAUGCUGACAGAAAACAUUGUAAAUUCAAGCCUGAUCCCAACAUCCCUCCCGCCUUCAGUGCCUUCAAUGAAGACUAUGUUGGGAGUGGGUGGUCGAGAGGACACAUGGCUCCAGCAGGAAAUAACAAAUUUUCAUCUGUAGGCAUAUUUUUUGGGAGGGAUGGGAAUAUGGGGCUGGUAGUCUGUAUACUGUGGGACUUGGGCAUUAAAAGUAUAGGAGCCAAACCUUAACAUCUGACAACUUUUAUACUCUUAUUUUGUAUCUUCCUUCCUGACUUCAGUUCCUUUGCUCAGAUAGACAUUCUCACACAGGUUGAAAAAGUAAAACUAAAUGCUAUGUAAAAGAGAACUAGAGAGCUCUUAGGAGUGAACUGUCUGUCUGUCUAUGUAUUUAUUUAUUUGAAAAAUUUCGGAUCUGUAGAAAAGCUGAGAGUACAGCAAAAACAUUUUUACCUGUAGAAAAAUUGAAAAGAUGGUACAGCAAACCCUUUUUUUUUUUUUUUUCAGAGAGCGGGGAAGGGCAGAGGGAGAGAAGGAAUCUUAAGCAGGCUCCAUGCUCAGUGUUGUUCAGGAUUGCUCAGGAUAUUGUAUCAUCUAAGAAUGAAGAUAUUUGUAUAUAUGACAAGAGUAUCAUACCAAGAAGUGUGUGUAUAUGUAUUUUUGAAUAUUUGUACAGUAAUCACUAACAGUUCAUACUCAGACUUGCCAAAUUGUUCCAGUUGUGUUCUUUACAGCUUUUUUUGAUCCAGUGUUCAGUCAUGAAUCACGUAUUACACUUAGUUGGUCAUGUCUUUCUAGUCUCCUUUACUUUAGGACAAGUUCUCUGCCAAAAAAGGAGAGAAAUGUAUUUUAUGACAUUUAUUGUAUCAACUGUUGGUGAUUAUUGUCAUUAAGAUAGUGGUUUUAAACCUUAGAUACUCAUUAUAAUCACCUAGGGAUGUUUUAAAAAAUCCCGAUGCCCAGAUCCAGAGCAAAUUAAAUCAGAAACUCAAGGGGGUGGAACCCAGGCACCAAUAUUUUUAAAGCUCCUGGGUUAUUCCAGUAUGCAUUCAAGGUUGAGAACCCCUGCUUGAAGAGAAAGUUAUUGAUGGCAUUGGCAGUUAAUACAGGUCAGUGGAAGGAAAUAAUAACAGCCUUGCAGGAGUGUGAAAUGAAUGAACACCUAGUGGCCAGAAAUUCAGAAGAAAAGGAAUUCUUCCCUGCUACUUUUGAACUAAUAUGUUUGUAUUGUAUUCCUUAAAUAAAAUUUCUGAAAGUUGACCUUUAUGGAGAAACUCUUUGUCAGAGGCUGAACACCAGAAUUUAUCCUUUAGCUUUAUAUUGGAAACUUUGCUCUCAGAGUCUACAUUACUGGUUUGAAUUUUAGGAAGUACAAAGAAAGCUAGCACACCAAACUACUUAUUUUGUUAUACCCCUUUUAUGAAUAAUCAUUAUUGAGCUUUCUGACCUGGAAUAGCUAUGGCUUUCAUUUAUUUAAACACGUAGUCACUGUAAUUGCCUUGAGCUAACAUAGAAGGAACUGGCUUUCAGUGUCUGUAAAAUCUUAAAGGGGAAGGCAUUUCAUUGCAAAUUACUAUUUUUAUUUCUUUUCACAGAAAGCCAUGGCUGAAACCUUUUACCUUUCUAACAUUGUGCCUCAGAAUUUUGAUAAUAAUGCUGGCUAUUGGAACAGGUGAGGGGUGAGAGUUUUAAAAUGUGAUUCUGUGGGAGAUGAACGAUGUGCCAGGAGAACAUACUAGUGCACUCAUCAACUGUUUAUCUUUGUUUAGCAAAAGAUAGCACUACUGAAGGUAAGUACUUUGGACUAGUUGUCUUUGUUGUAUUCCGGGAGUACAGUUGUCUGUGGGAGUACAGACUUCAAAACAGCCAGCCAUUUUGAUCAUAUUUGCCACUGGUCAGAAAUAAGUUUGGGAAGAAACUACUCAAAAUAUUACUGAGGCAGUAAGAGAUUUUUUAGUCUGUCCAGGGGCAUUAUAAUUUUUUCUACUUGUAUUUCAAGAGUUCCUGAGCUUUCUAAAAAAAAGUUUUGGUACUAUUAAACAUAACCAGUUUUUGAUAGAACCUAACAAUAAAAUCACUGGACUUUUUGCAGGUUUUUGAUACUUCUAACCAGUUCUGUCAGGGGAUCUCUUUAAGCAUCUAAAACUAGCACUGAUUGAGGUUGUUUCAGCCUAUUGCAUUUUCCUCAAAUGGUACCUUAUGGUUUAAAAUACAUUAAGAGAGUACCCCACACUUAAGACUUGAAUAAUUAUCAGUCAUGGCUCCAUUGUUUUGUCUACAUACCCUCCCUUUCCCCACUCAUUUUAAGCUGUGACAGCUAUGUUGUUUUAUCUUUAAAUAUUUUAAUAUAUAUUUUUAGAAGAUAAGGGUUUUUUAAAAAUUGAAGCAGAGCAUGAUUAUUGCCCCGAAAAAAUUGAACAGUAAUUCCUUAUUGCCAGUUUGUUCAGAUUUUUCUCUCCUAAUUUUUUAUUUAUGGUUGAUUGGUUUGAAUCAGAAUUCGAACAAGGUCCACAUAUAGGUAGGUUCUUUUAAUACUCUUUUAAUCUGUAGGUUUCCUUUUUUUUUUUUUUUUUUUUUUUUUAGCCUUGCAGAUGAUUUGUUGAAGAUCUGGGAUAUUUGAUUUGUCUUACAGAGUUUCCUUUUUAUUUUGGCUGAUCGCAUACCUGCGGAAGCAUUUAACAUUUUCCUUUCCCAAGGGAUAUAUUUUUGGGAGGAUAAUUUACCUGAUAAUUAGGCAUAUAUACUGUGAGGUAUAAUACUGCUGAUUUUACUUUUUAGAUGAGGAAGCUGAGGGAUGAUGACAUGCAUUGUUAUCUCUCAUAAAUCUCUCCCAGCUGCAGUAUAAGAAAGUGCAUAUUAAACCUACUUGCCAUUUUUAUCCAGUAAAUUAGCAAAACCAUUUAUUGAUAAAUCCCAGUGUUGUAAAGAUUGCUGUGAAACUGUGGUGUCAUAUUUUGGAGUUUAUAUAGUAAAUUGGUACAAUACCAUUAAAAUAUUACUUUUACAUAUAAUCAAGUGUUAUUAAAAUAUAUAUUCAGUAAAGUAAUUCUGGCCCUUGAAAUUUAUCCUAAGGAAUGUUGCAUUAUGUAAGAAAUGUUAGGAUAAACCCAACUGCCCCACAAUAGGAAUGGUUAAAUAAAUAAGGUGUAUCAACUUGUUGAAACGAUAUAUAACUCUUCAGAAAAGAUUGAGAGCUACAAAGAAAGAUAAGGGAGAAGACAAAACAAAAUCAGUUCUAAAAUGUACACUGAAUGCACACACAGGAAAAUGUAGGUAGUUGUAUAAGUGCAUGUCAUUUUUAAGUUUUCUUGUGCAAUGAAGAACUGGGAAGAGUUGCUUAUAUGCUUAGUGUUUUUUGCAAUAUUCGUUUGUUCACAUUCAUUUGUCAAAUUCAGCAUUCCUGCUAUCUUUUCUAGGGAUUUGAAAUGGUUUGCUUCUUUUCUAUAUGUCUGUGUGAAUAUCACACCUUUUUUUUAUUUUGUUUUUCAGAAUGGAAAUGUACUGUCGAGAACUGACGGAGAGGUUUGAAGAUGUUUGGGUAGUAUCUGGACCGUUGACCUUACCUCAGACUGGAAGUGAUGGAAAGAAAACAGUUAGUUACCAGCUGAGGUCAUCCAUGUGCUUUCUCUGAUGUGCCUGUUUCAAGAAGAGAUUGAUUCCAGACAAGUGAAACAUACCUGAAGAUUCUGGCCUGAAACAUUAUAAUUGACCUGACAAGAAAGUGAUCGGUGAGGACAACGUGGCUGUCCCCUCACACCUCUAUAAGGUGAUCCUGGCCCGCAGAAGCCCAGUGUCUACUGAACCUCUGGCACUAGGGGCCUUUGUGGUGCCCAAUGACGCCAUUGGCUUCCAACCGCAG